UAGAUACUGUCAGUACUAGAGUUUAUUGAAUGUAGGCGGAAUGUAGCAAGUAGCGGAGAAAUGCUUAGAGAUGUUACAGAACACACAUAGCGAAGGCAGCUUAGGAAGAUAUAAAUGACGCUCAUGCAGGAAAGCGUGGAGAUCAAACAGGAUUAGCUACCUUGGUAGUCCCACGCUGUACACGAUGAUAACUGGGAUUAGUCGAUACACAGUCAGAGGAUGAGAGAAAUCAAUAAGUUAUCUACGUGGUGAGUACGACGGCAACGUUGACACUCAAGAGAAUCGACGGAGUCCAGCACAAGCGGAGGAGCAUGUGGUUUAAUUGGAUGAUACGCGAGGAACGUUACCCGCGCUUAAAUGGCAGAUGCUGUAUGUGGAAAGGCAUAUUUCUACGGACAUCUGUGAAGGUGCUGCAUGGUUGUCGUCAGCCCGUUCCGUGAGGUGUCGGGUUAAGUCCCAUAACGAGCGCAA
rnacentral:rRNA from 1 species